CCUCUGGGCAACAUCAAAGGUCUCAGAGAGAAAGUGAGUGGGAGGAACAAAGAAACAGAGAAAUUUGAUGUGUGUCUCACGUGACCCCAUGAAACUUUGAGAAGUGCCAGACUAAAUUGCUCUUUACAUUUUUUUGCUUUAUAUCCUCUUUUAUCUGCCUGUCAGGACAUUGUCUUUUUCCCUGAGAAACUAAAGAACAGCGGGCACUGAAAAAAAUCAGAGUGGUUGAACUGCUUGGAGGCUGCAGUCAGUAGUCCCACUAAAGCUGGAGCAAGAAGGAAAGAAACCCCAGCCAUACGCAGCAGGUAUAAAAGAAUGUUUGAUUCUUCUGACAAGUACUAUAAGAUUUAAUAUCUUUGCUGCUGGACCCAAUAUUGUAUCACAGGCAUCACUGGUGUUGUGCUUCCCAGCAUGCCCUAGCAUUCCUUCAAGCAAACAUUCACAGCAGCAGAAAGUCCAAGAAAAGGCUUACUCCCUUGAGGAUCAAGAAGAAAGCAACAGUGAAGAAAGGUAUAGUAGCUAUUAA
rnacentral:lncRNA from 1 species